rnacentral:rRNA from 1 species
GGACCCGCACAAGCGGUGGAGCAUGUGGUUUAAUUCGACGCAACGCGAAGAACCUUACCUGCUCUUGACAUCCUCUUGACCGGUCCGUAAUGGGACCUUCCCUUCGGGGCAAGAGUGACAGGUGGUGCAUGGUUGUCGUCAGCUCGUGUCGUGAGAUGUUGGGUUAAGUCCCGCAACGAGCGCAACCCCUAUCUUUAGUAGCCAGCAGUUCGGCUGGGCACUCUAGAGAGACUGCCAGGGAUAACCUGGAGGAAGGUGGGGAUGACGUCAAAUCAUCAUGCCCCUUAUGAGCAGGGCUACACACGUGCUACAAUGGCGUAAACAAAGAGAAGCAAAGUCGCGAGGCCGAGCAAAUCUCAAAAAUAACGUCUCAGUUCGGAUUGUAGUCUGCAACUCGACUACAUGAAGCUGGAAUCGCUAGUAAUCGCAAAUCAGAAUGUUGCGGUGAAUACGUUCCCGGGUCUU